AGUUUUUUGUUUUUUUAUAAAAAAUAUUUUCUGCUCAGUGAUUUUAAACAGCCGCGGUAUUUUGACCGUGCAAAGGUAGCAUAAUCAUUUGUCUCGUAAUUUGGGGCUAGUAUGAAUGGAAGUACAAGAAGUUUUCUUUAUUUUUAGAAUAAAUGUAAAUUGCUUUUUUAGUGAAGAAGCUAAAAUUUAAUUAAAAGACAAGAAGACCCUUUUGAGUUUUAUUUUUUAUGGUCUUUUUUAGAUUAAAAAAAUUUGGUUGGGGCGACCAAGGAAGAAUUAUCUUCCUUUAUUUAUUUAGAUCCAUAGGUUUUGAUUGAAAGAUUAAAUUACCAAAGGGAUAACAGCGUUAUUUUUUUUGAGAGUUCUUAUCGAAAAUUAAGAUUGCGACCUCGAUGUUGACUUAUAGUUUCCUUUUUGUGUAGCCGCUUUAAGGGUAGGUCUGUUCGACCUUUAAAACUUU
rnacentral:rRNA from 1 species